rnacentral:misc_RNA from 1 species
UUUCCGUAGGUGAACCUGCGGAAGGAUCAUUAUCGUAUAACGGAGGUGCGAGGGCUACCGCUGACCCGAAUGGUCAUGCACGCGCUAGUGUCCCCGCACCCCCCCAUCCAACCCCUAUGUGCAGCACCCCGGGCGCCCCCCUCUGGCUUGUCCGGGGGGGGGCUUACGUUUUCACAAAAUGUUUGUAUUGAGUAUAAAGUGUAUUUUUUGAUUUUUCGACCACGCAAUCAAUACAACUUUCAUCAACGGAUAACUUGGCUCUCGGAUGGAUGCAGAACC